AGUGUGUACGUGUCUUCAUGUACAUAUGAGGGGUGGGGUCUGCGCGGAUUCCCCGCCCCCAUACUCACGCCCACCAGGCCCCGGGAGGGGGCAGCAGCGGAGGCGACCGCUGCAGCAGGGAGACCCUCCUCCCAGCCUGCCCCGCCCCCACCCCCUACCUGCGGGCCGCUUCGCCGACCGCCCGAAUCGCCAGAAGCUGCGGACCCGGGGACUACUGGGGGCCUUCCUCUUGUGGUAUAAGCCCCAGAAACUGAUGCCUAUAAAGGAGGCAGGUAGGUGGAGAACCAGAGGAAACAUCCAGAGGAAAAGAAUGAAUCCCUUGGUAUGAGUUGAGUGGGAACAGGUACCAGGAAUCCCACUCAAUGCCUUGUACUUGCAGGCAAGCACUGUGCCACUGAGCUAUAUCCCCAGCCUGGUUUUGGUGCUUUGUAACCCCUUAAAGAACAGGUGCAGAAAUUUGCAAGAGGACAUCCUACACAGACAGGAGGCCCUCCAUGGUCAUCUUGCCCUGAAACCCCAUGAACCUCGUGGAUAUCAUGCACUUUGUCAUAUGUAUUUUGGUUUGGUUUGGUUGGGUUGGGUUUGGUUUGGUUUGGUUUUGGUUUGUUUUGAUUUACAGUACUGAGUGUGUUAACCCAAGGCCUUCACACUGAGCUACAGCCCCUAGCCCUUUUUUAUUUUUUAUUUGAGAUGGAGUCUUGCUAAGAUGCUAGAUUACCUAAACUUGGUUGGAACUGGCAGUCGUGCCCGCUUCAGCCUCCCAGAGUGCUAGGAUCACAAGCCUGCACCACCACGUCCAGUUCCAUGGUACAGGUUUAAAGUCUGGGCAGGCUAAGCUAUAACAAUUCCACAUCACACACAGAGCUGGGCACCUUGUGAGUGGAACUGACAGUCCUCUGAUGAAUCGGCCCCAGGACUGGAGCAUAAGGGUACAGAGUGGGAGAUGCUGGGGGAAGUGAAAGAUUUCAUUCCUAUCCAAGGAAGCUGCUUGCACCUCCUUCCUUCCCCAACUCAGUAACGGAGCUGGAGGUGGCCUUGGGGGUCUGUACAUGGAAGGUGUGUGUACCCGCUUUCCCUACCCCAUCGUGCUUACUUUGGCCCAAACAAUGUACAAUACGUCCUCUAUUCAUUUUCUUCAGCAUGUGACAAGCCAGGAGCAGCUGAGAGGGCUUUGAGGGUUUGGGGAGUGGGGAUUUCCAAGGGAGGAGGUGCUGAGGGAGGCUCUGCUGAGGGAGAACAGCUUUUCUGGCCACAGGGUUCAGUCACCCUACGUUAGCAGUGAAGGACAACACAUGCAUUGAGGGCCCCUCCUGGCCUGUAGGGGAUUUCCAGGAGAAGGACAAGAGCUAGGAGGCCCCAAAGGUGUCUGAGGUAAGGGAGGGACAGGAGCGGGGAAGAAAGAAGGCUCCCUUGGCAUCCCUUUCUUCUCAGCUCUUCCCACCCCUGAUAGAGGCUCCUCGCUGGGAAGAGCUUCUCCUGUUUGAAGUUUGAACAAAACAGUAAAGAAGCUGAAAUCAGACCGGCAGGUGUGGACUCCCUUUCUGCCUGCUGGCCACUGUACGGCCUUUAAUGAGUCACUCCUUCCUCGGGGCUCAGUUGCCCAUCUCUAUGUAUGAUGAGGGCUCCUUGUGACAUUUCAGGUCAUCAACAAUGAGCACCUAAGAUCCAGAGAUAGCUGUGCUCAGGAGACCCUGAUUAGAUCACUUAUGGCCAAAGCCAUUCAGUGUCAGGCCCUGUGUUGGGUAAGGACAGGGGAGGGCUAGUCAGCCCUGCUCCUGUUCUCAGGGUAUCCAAAUACUGAAGCAUGGCCACCCUGUGCUCCAUGAACCCCAAAGAACCAGCUGGUUCCAGUCUCCAGCAAGUACCCUGCCUGCCUCCUGUGCUUCAACUCCCAUGACCUCAGCUUCCCUUACCCUUGAAUUCUAGCUUAAAUAUCACUGCCUCUGAUCCCCCUCAGAGAUCCCUGUGCUUCCUCUUGUCAUUUUUGACCCCUAUUUACUUGUUCAACAUCUGGUUACAUGCUCAAAUUGUGAGAUUGGUUCAGGACAACUGAGACCUUGACUCUCUUAUUUAUCCCCAGGACAUAGUGGGUACUUAAUGUUUGUGAAAUAAAUGAGUGAGGCUCCUCCUUUCUGGA